rnacentral:misc_RNA from 1 species
UUUCUCUUCAAAAAAAAUAAUAAUAUUAAUUACAAUCUCACAAAUGACAUUUGCAGUAAAAAACACAGUUUUUCCAAUGAUUUUACUUAAACUAGCAGAAUGGUUUGUCUACAAACUCCUUGCAAAUUCAUGUUAUAAAGCAGCAAUGGAAGUUAAAAAUUCGCGAAUUUUUUUCAAGAAUUCUUCUUCUUUCCGAUCAUCUCAUCAAAUUCCGAUUCAUCCCAAUAUUUCAAAAUGUAAAAAUUCAAGAAAAUCUGAAACAGUUGUAUGUGAUAUUCAAUCUACAUUACUUAGAUCUGAAUCAUUUUUUCCGUAUUUCAUGUUAAUUGCUUUCGAAGGUGGUGGUAUAUUAAGAGCUCUGUUUCUACUUCUAUCGAGUCCCCUGUUAUUCGUUCUUGAUUUCGAAGCUAAACUGAGAGUUAUGGUGUUCAUAUCUUUCUGUGGGAUGAAAAUUAAGGAUGUUGAAUGUGUUGGUAGAGCUGUCUUGCCUAAAUUUUAUCUUGAAAAUUUGAAUGUUCGUGUUUACGAGUUGAUGAAAUCUGCAGGGGAAAGAAUGGUUUUUACGAGUGUUCCUAGAGUUAUGGUGGAAGGUUUUCUGAAGGAUUAUUUGAGUGUUGAUUGUGUUAAAGGAACUGAGUUGCAUUGUUUUGGGAAUUAUUUUAGUGGAUUUGUUUCAUCUUCUGGGAUUUUGAGUAAGCAUAGAGCUUUAAUGGAAGUUGUUGGUGAGAAAAAACCAGAUAUUGGUAUUGGAAAUUCAAGUUUUCAUGAUCAUUUGUUUAUCUCACUUUGCAAGGAAGCUUAUGUGGUGAGCAAAGAGGAUGCUACUACUACAAGUUCAAUAUUACCAAGAGAAAAAUACCCAAAGCCAUUAAUUUUUCAUGAUGGAAGGCUAGCAUUUUUACCUACACCUCUUGCAACAUUAGCCAUGUUUAUGUGGCUACCAAUUGGAAUUCCACUAGCUAUUUUUAGAAUCUUAAUUGGCAUAUGUUUGCCAUACAAAGUAGCUGUUUUGUUGGGAAAAUUAAGUGGUAUAAGACUUAGAGUUAAAGGUACUGACCCUCCAAGAUCUGAAAAUGACAAAGGAGUCCUAUAUGUUUGCACUCAUAGAACACUUUUGGACCCUGUCUUUCUUAGCACUUCUUUGGGAAAACCUUUAACAGCAGUGACUUAUAGUUUAAGCAAAAUGUCUGAAAUUCUUGCUCCUAUUAAAACUGUGAGAUUGACAAGAUCAAGACAAAAAGAUGGAGAGGCCAUGCAAAGAUUGCUUAGUGAAGGUGACUUAGUGGUAUGUCCAGAAGGAACAACAUGUAGGGAGCCAUAUCUAUUAAGGUUCAGUUCACUAUUUGCAGAAUUAGCAGAUGAAAUAGUACCAGUGGCUAUGAACACAAAUGUUAGCAUGUUUUAUGGUACAACAGCUAGUGGGCUUAAAUGUUUGGACCCAAUUUUCUUCUUGAUGAAUCCAAGGCCUUGUUACACUGUUGAAAUAUUAGGCAAAUUACCAAAAGAAUUGACGUGUGCUGGUGGAAAAUCAAGUCAUGAAGUGGCUAAUUAUAUACAAAGACAAUUAGGUGCUGCAUUGGGAUUUGAGUGUACUAAUCUUACAAGAAGGGACAAAUAUUUAAUGCUUGCUGGUAAUGAAGGGGUAGUUGAAGAUCAUAAUUCAACAAUAAAUACCUCUAAUUAAUUUAAUUAUUAAGGAGUAUAUAGGGUUAGUGUUUUUUUUUUAAAAAAAAAACACUAACCCUAUAUACUCCUUAAUAAUUAAAUUAAUUAGAGGUAUUUAUUGUUGAAUUAUGAUCUUCAACUACCCCUUCAUUACCAGCAAGCAUUAAAUAUUUGUCCCUUCUUGUAAGAUUAGUACACUCAAAUCCCAAUGCAGCACCUAAUUGUCUUUGUAUAUAAUUAGCCACUUCAUGACUUGAUUUUCCACCAGCACACGUCAAUUCUUUUGGUAAUUUGCCUAAUAUUUCAACAGUGUAACAAGGCCUUGGAUUCAUCAAGAAGAAAAUUGGGUCCAAACAUUUAAGCCCACUAGCUGUUGUACCAUAAAACAUGCUAACAUUUGUGUUCAUAGCCACUGGUACUAUUUCAUCUGCUAAUUCUGCAAAUAGUGAACUGAACCUUAAUAGAUAUGGCUCCCUACAUGUUGUUCCUUCUGGACAUACCACUAAGUCACCUUCACUAAGCAAUCUUUGCAUGGCCUCUCCAUCUUUUUGUCUUGAUCUUGUCAAUCUCACAGUUUUAAUAGGAGCAAGAAUUUCAGACAUUUUGCUUAAACUAUAAGUCACUGCUGUUAAAGGUUUUCCCAAAGAAGUGCUAAGAAAGACAGGGUCCAAAAGUGUUCUAUGAGUGCAAACAUAUAGGACUCCUUUGUCAUUUUCAGAUCUUGGAGGGUCAGUACCUUUAACUCUAAGUCUUAUACCACUUAAUUUUCCCAACAAAACAGCUACUUUGUAUGGCAAACAUAUGCCAAUUAAGAUUCUAAAAAUAGCUAGUGGAAUUCCAAUUGGUAGCCACAUAAACAUGGCUAAUGUUGCAAGAGGUGUAGGUAAAAAUGCUAGCCUUCCAUCAUGAAAAAUUAAUGGCUUUGGGUAUUUUUCUCUUGGUAAUAUUGAACUUGUAGUAGUAGCAUCCUCUUUGCUCACCACAUAAGCUUCCUUGCAAAGUGAGAUAAACAAAUGAUCAUGAAAACUUGAAUUUCCAAUACCAAUAUCUGGUUUUUUCUCACCAACAACUUCCAUUAAAGCUCUAUGCUUACUCAAAAUCCCAGAAGAUGAAACAAAUCCACUAAAAUAAUUCCCAAAACAAUGCAACUCAGUUCCUUUAACACAAUCAACACUCAAAUAAUCCUUCAGAAAACCUUCCACCAUAACUCUAGGAACACUCGUAAAAACCAUUCUUUCCCCUGCAGAUUUCAUCAACUCGUAAACACGAACAUUCAAAUUUUCAAGAUAAAAUUUAGGCAAGACAGCUCUACCAACACAUUCAACAUCCUUAAUUUUCAUCCCACAGAAAGAUAUGAACACCAUAACUCUCAGUUUAGCUUCGAAAUCAAGAACGAAUAACAGGGGACUCGAUAGAAGUAGAAACAGAGCUCUUAAUAUACCACCACCUUCGAAAGCAAUUAACAUGAAAUACGGAAAAAAUGAUUCAGAUCUAAGUAAUGUAGAUUGAAUAUCACAUACAACUGUUUCAGAUUUUCUUGAAUUUUUACAUUUUGAAAUAUUGGGAUGAAUCGGAAUUUGAUGAGAUGAUCGGAAAGAAGAAGAAUUCUUGAAAAAAAUUCGCGAAUUUUUAACUUCCAUUGCUGCUUUAUAACAUGAAUUUGCAAGGAGUUUGUAGACAAACCAUUCUGCUAGUUUAAGUAAAAUCAUUGGAAAAACUGUGUUUUUUACUGCAAAUGUCAUUUGUGAGAUUGUAAUUAAUAUUAUUAUUUUUUUUGAAGAGAAA